UGUGUUCACUUCUCUCUGUCUCUCUCUCAAAUCUCUGCUUCCGUCGCACUCGAACUCCUUCUGUCGCUCUUCUCUUUCUAAAAUCCAUCUAAAAAAAUGUAUAAUGGGUAUUGUUUCUCUCUGCAGGUUACUCGAAGAAGUCUGUGAGGGGUCAAUAGGAGAAGGUGGAUUGCGUUUCAAAGUGCAAAAAAUACAGGGCAUGCCUCUUUAUGCGUUUCCAAUCUUCCAAAAAUCGUGUUCGUGGAGGCGAUUUGAGACGGAUUUGAAGCUCGGCUACAGAGAUUUUAUUCAAUUUGGUGGAUUUGGAAAUUUGUACCAAUUUGGUUUCGAUUGGAAUUUCUGGGCUCAUCUAAUCCAACGUUUCCAGGUGAGAAAGUUGCUUAAAUUUCGAUUUUUAUUAAACUCAGGUGAGCUUCUUCAGUUUUUUAGAUUGAUUUGAAGGAAUUUCUUGCCCAGAAAAGCUAGGGUUUCCUGGUAAGUUUUUCAAGUCUUUCAUCUUGGGGGUUUUGUUUUGUUCAAAUAUGGGGUUUUGUGAUUUUGGAUUUACAAAUGGAUUGAAAUUUCGAUUUCACCUCCCACUCGGAACCUGAUACUCAGUCACCUUUAGAACAGCUUCCUUCUCUCUUUUUCUCCAACCAUGGUUGCUGAUCCACAGGGCAUCAAGGUUUUUCAGAUUUGAUGGCGUUUGUUUCUGUGCUCAAGCAAAAUCACCGCCACCACCCAACAAACCCAUGAGCUGGAAUUUCAAUUACUGUGCAUGAAGGGAGUUCAGACGAGAACAGUGUUUUCAUGUUCUCCCCAACAUCAACAAGCGCUUUGUUUGUGCUGAGAAAGCACUACUCAACCCUUCUCUACCAUUAUGAACAGCAACGCGCGGGUAGCAUUUUCUAGUGGGUUUCUAAACGAAGAAACAGAAACCCCGCAGACACGACGUGGCGUUUUUGAUUUGGUGCGCCUUCUUCCUUGAGAGCGGAAGCUGCCUUUCACCUCCGCCCUGCAACUCAAGUUAGCAGCUAGAUUUUGGUUACAGAAAGUGUUGGAUUUUCACAUUAAUCCUCCAGGUUUGACAGCCACGUUGCAUAAAUGUGACAGCCACGUCAGCACUUAAUGGAUCAAUGGAUGAAAAAUGUAACAGAUGUAUUAUUUUGAAAUAAAAUAGUACAUGAGGUAUAAAAGUGAAAUGUUUUAAAGAUGUUGUAUAAAGUUGUAAUACAUUUCAAACCUGAAGGGUUACUAUGUAAUUUACCCAUAAUAUUAUGAUGUAAAUAAUCAUGAUGACUUAAAUACCACAAACAAAUGAAGUAACGAAGGAAAAGGAGACUAUUAAACGUCUUCUUAUUUGAAAAAGCAUUCAUGUCCUAUGAACAUGAGUGUGGCUUGAAAGCAUUAAAAAUUUAAAAGUGUUGAAUCUACAAGUCACAUUAAAAGUUCAAAGCAUUCAGAAUAAAAAAAGCUAGUCAGAAUUUCACACAAAAUCUUGCUAAGCAAGAAUUGUUUAGUUUUCGGGUCCAUGAUUAGUUGUCCCAAGGCUAUUGGAAAAUAUAGUCUCAGAUGAUUAAAUUGUUUUUUCAAUUGGAGUUGUUUGCCCAAUUGGAGUUUAGUUUUUGGAUUGAAGAAGGAUUCAUAACUAGAUUCCAAUCAUUAUUAGUAUUCCUUAUUGAAGAAGACCUUUAUAAUGUCUAUAUAAGAGGAAAGGGAUCCUCUCCGGAUCCCUCCACCAAAUCCACCCAAUCAAUCAGUCCGGACCUUUGAAAUUUGAUCAAACGGCUACAAAUAGGAGGCUCCUUUAAAAUGUGUAGUAACUUUAGCCGUUGAAUUAAAUUUCAAGGGCCUGGAUUAGGUGGAAAGGAUCAAAGAUGAUCCUUUUCCUAUAUAAAGGGCUUAUGGUACUAGUUUCGUUACCUGGGAAAUCGAGCAAUGCACUAGAGUUCAGUUGUUUCAAUCAAAAUCCCUUCGAACCACGCAAACUAUUUCGAUGAAAAAGCCUACUGGUACUAUAGAAACUAAUGUCUAAAGGAUACAUACAUAUGUACAGCUACUGAACCAUUUAUGAAUCGAAUAGAAAGCUAUAAGUAGCAGACCUGUUCUUCGUACAGGAAUACAUGGUAUGGCAAACAUCACAGAAAUUCGAAACAAAACUAAAAGAUUGCAACUUUGAAUGCUAAUGAUAAUACAAUUAGAGCAGCAAAAACUUUUAGACGCACAACUAAUUCAUGGCAAAAUACAAAAGGCGGUGAAAUUAAAAAGAAAACAAAAUGAGAGAGGGAGAAUAAAUUGGUUGCGGAGUCGCCAUCCAUGAAAUUCAAACUUAAAACCUCUUACUUACAACUAGAUCGUAGUGCCAAAAGUAGGACUAAGUUGAAGAAGAAAAGUGUAAUUUUAGUCUUUGUGUCAUAGCUAGUAAUCUCAUAAAAAGGGGAAAAUAGGGUGGGUUUUUCGGUUCGGGUACAAAGUUCCCCAUCAAAGUUCAAUUUCACUCUUUAGCCACAAACCCAUUUUAAGGAUCGAUCACGAUAGCAACACAAAAAACACUACUGAAUCUUCCUCAACAAACCAACCAAUUGAAUCUUCAAAUUUACAACACAAUUAGAUCAAUAACUUGAGCUGUAAAUGCAUACAUAAUCCUUUCUUACUUUCUCACUAGCUAAUACUAGAAACAAAAUCCAAUAGUCAACAAUUUAUUAGAGAACAACAAUUGAUACGACUAUUUUAGGUAAACACAAUUGAAGAAACAAAAUAAUUCACAGCAAAAACCAAGUUACUACUGUUAAAGCAAAUCCCCAACAGUUUAUCAGAAAUUCACAAUCUAUACAACCAAUUCAGGGAAAGAUUGAAUUUCAACAAAAUUUGAUUUAGUGAUAGCAUCAAGAAACAGAAAGACAACCAAGUAAACAAUUUAUCAGAAAUCAACACAACACAUUCUAUAAACCAAAUCCUCAACGAUUUAUCAGAAAUUCACAAUCUAUACAACGAAUUCAGGAAAACAAGAUUGAAUCUUAACAAAAGUUAAUUUAGUAAUGGUAUGAAGAAACAAAAACUAUACUACUGUUCUGUAGACUCGUGCUGAAAAGACAAUUAGCUAGCCUAGCAGAACGGUACUAACAAUAGAAGGAAAGUAUACUAUUGUUCUUGCAGACUUGUGCCGAAAAGACAAUCAACUAGCCCAGCAAAACGGUAUUAACAACAGAAGGAAAGUAUACUACUGUUCUUGGAGGCUUGUGCCGAAAUGACAAUCAGCUAGCCCAGCAGAACGAUAUUAACAACAGAAGGAAAGUAGUAUCUAGCACGAUUCGUCCCACGUUUGGUACGCCUAAAACAGGUGGAACGCGCUGUUCCACGGGAUGAGUUUUGGGUGAAUUUUCAUUCCGCCUCAUCCCCUAGAACGAUUCGUUCCACAUCUGUGGAACACAAAAUUAUAACAUCUCCGUCUCCUUCUUCCUCCUUGUUUCAAUCCGAGGGCAUCUUUGCUCCCUCUCUGUUCCGUCCCGUCCCGUCUGCAUACCAAACGAUACCUUACGUAAUGUUAUUUUUACACAAAAUUGAGGCUAGUGGGCUUCUAUUUGUCAAUUCGUUGAUGUGAUUCUCGAUUUUUUUUACUU